rnacentral:rRNA from 1 species
GUGGGGAAUAUUGGACAAUGGGCGAAAGCCUGAUCCAGCCAUGCCGCGUGUGUGAAGAAGGUCUUCGGAUUGUAAACUGCUUUUGUACGGAACGAAACGGUCCGGGUUAAUACCCUGGGCUAAUGACGGUACCGUAAGAAUAAGCACCGGCUAACUACGUGCCAGCAGCCGCGGUAAUACGUAGGGUGCAAGCGUUAAUCGGAAUUACUGGGCGUAAAGCGUGCGCAGGCGGUUUUGUAAGACAGGCGUGAAAUCCCCGGGCUCAACCUGGGAAUUGCGCUUGUGACUGCAAGGCUGGAGUGCGGCAGAGGGGGAUGGAAUUCCGCGUGUAGCAGUGAAAUGCGUAGAUAUGCGGAGGAACACCGAUGGCGAAGGCAAUCCCCUGGGCCUGCACUGACGCUCAUGCACGAAAGCGUGGGGAGCAAACAGGAUUAGAUACCCGAGUAGUCC